AGAGUUUGAUCCUGGCUCAGAGCGAACGCUGGCGGCAGGCUUAACACAUGCAAGUCGAGCGGACGUAGCAAUACGUCAGCGGCAGACGGGAGAGUAACACGUGGGAACGCGCCCUUCGGUUCGGAAUAACUCAGGGAAACUUGGGCUAAUACCGGAUACGCCCUAACGGGGAAAGAUUUAUUGCCGAAGGAACGGCCCGCGUCCGAUUAGCUAGUUGGUGAGGUAACGGCUCACAAAGGCGACGAUCGGUAGCUGGUCUGAGAGGAUGAUCAGCCUCACUGGGACUGAGACACGGCCCAGACUCCUACGGGAGGCAGCAGUGGGGAAUAUUGGACAAUGGGCGCAAGCCUGAUCCAGCCAUGCCGCGUGGGUGAUGAAGGCCCUAGGGUUGUAAAGCCCUUUCGGCGGGGAAGAUAAUGACGGUACCCGCAGAAGAAGCCCCGGCUAACUUCGUGCCAGCAGCCGCGGUUAAUACGAAGGGGGCUAGCGUUGCUCGGAAUUACUGGGCGUAAAGCGCACGUAGGCGGAUUGUUAAGUCUGAUGUGAAAGCCCUGGGCUCANCCCAGGAAGUGCAUUGGGAACUGGCAGACUUGAAUACGGGAGAGGNCAGUGGAAUUCCUAGUGUAGGAGUGAAAUCCGUAGAUAUUAGGAGGAACACCGGUGGCGAANGCGNCUGCCUGGACCCGAUAUUGACGCCUGAGACGCGAAAACCGUGGGUUAGCAAACAGGAUUAGAUACCCCUGGUAGUCCCCGCCCGUAAACGAUGAGAACUAGGUGUUGCGGGUAUUGACCCCUGCAGUGCCGCAGCUAACGCACUAAGUUCUCCGCCUGGGAAGUACGGUCGCAAGACUAAAACUCAAAGGAAUUGACGG
rnacentral:rRNA from 1 species